rnacentral:rRNA from 1 species
CCAGCCACGCCGCGUGAGUGAUGAAGGCCUUCGGGUCGUAAAGCUCUGUGGGGAGGGACGAACGGCGCCAUGAAGAGUGGCGAUUGACGGUACCUCCUUAGCAAGCACCGGCUAACUUCGUGCCAGCAGCCGCGGUAAUACGAAGGGUGCAAACGUUGCUCGGAAUCAUUGGGCGUAAAGCGUGCGCAGGCGGUUUGGUAAGUCAGAUGUGAAAUCCCCGGGCUCAACCUGGGAACUGCAUUUGAGACUGCCAGGCUGGAGUUUGGCAGAGGGGGGUGGAAUUCCACGUGUAGCAGUGAAAUGCGUAGAGAUGUGGAGGAACACCGAUGGCGAAGGCAGCCCCCUGGGCCAAUACUGACGCUCAUGCACAAAAGCGUGGGGAGCAAACAGGAUUAGAUACCCUGGUAGUCCACGCCCUAAAACGAUGUCAACUAGGUGUUGGGAGGGUUAAACCUUUUAGUGCCGUAGCUAACGCGUGAAGUUGACCGCCUGGGGAGUACGGCCGCAAGGCUAAAACUCAAAGGAAUUGACGGGGAC